rnacentral:ncRNA from 2 species
AAGCUCAUUUUAGCGCCUGCCCCGGCAGUCAGAAGAUGCUAUGUAUUAUUGGAUAUGCAUUAGCAUAGAGUUUUGCUGAUUAAUUCAUAAUAUAGGUGAGCAUCGGAGUGCCGGGUGACGAGGAGGGGGUUUAUCGAAUUUGUCGGCGGAUGCCCCCCGGUGACCACCACCGUCAGCAUGGCUACAAAGACCCGCAGUAAUGCGGGUGACAAAAGCCCUGCGUGGAAAAGC